rnacentral:lncRNA from 1 species
AAUAUUUAAUAAAAUAUUUAAAUAUCUUAUUUAAAAUAAAAUGGUAAAUAAAAUCAUUUUAAAAUAAAAUGAGCACCUACUACGUGCCAAGAAGCGCUGUGAUUGGCGCAGGGAACGCCCAUCUGUGAACAAGGCCAAUGGUUCCUGCAGCGCGGGGGGAGGGGCGCCACCAGGGUGUGAUGGGUAGGAGAUACAACCAACAGGUAAACUUCAAGGUAAGACCGCCCACUCGGUGGAGAGUCUAAAAAUGGUCAGCCGAAGGCAUUUUUCUUUUAGGAAGAUAGAAUUUCCCCGCUUCGUUUUCCGACCAUGAAUUGUCCUACCUCCAUCUUCUUUCCCUCUCCAACCCCCAAACCAACGAAGCCCCCGAGCCCGGCUACACACUCCUCCUUGCCAGAAUUAAAAAUGGCGCCGACGGGCCGGCGUUAUGACGCGCCCCGACUUCCGACUUCCGCCGGAAGUGCGCGAGGAGUUCCGGGGACCGGGAGGCCUCCGCGCGCUGGUCUCCUGAGCUGGCGAAUUGAGUGCUGCUAUUCCGCCCUGGAGCCGCUCCGCCGCCGCCGCCGCCGGGAUCAUGGUGUUCUACUUCACCAGCAGCAGCGAUGGAGGAUGCCUAUGUUAAAAGACACUAGCUCAGUAAAGCAUAUGUCAUUUCUAAGUUAACUCAUCAGCUUACACUAUUUACAUGGGAAAGGAUAAAUAUGAAAAUGAAGAUCUAAUAAAGCAUGGCUGGCCUGAAGAUAUUUGGUGAGU